rnacentral:rRNA from 1 species
AGUGAACGCUGGCGGUAGGCCUAACACAUGCAAGUCGAACGGCAGCACAGUAAGAGCUUGCUCUUACGGGUGGCGAGUGGCGGACGGGUGAGGAAUACAUCGGAAUCUACUUUUUCGUGGGGGAUAACGUAGGGAAACUUACGCUAAUACCGCAUACGACCUACGGGUGAAAGCAGGGGAUCUUCGGACCUUGCGCGAUUGAAUGAGCCGAUGUCGGAUUAGCUAGUUGGCGGGGUAAAGGCCCACCAAGGCGACGAUCCGUAGCUGGUCUGAGAGGAUGAUCAGCCACACUGGAACUGAGACACGGUCCAGACUCCUACGGGAGGAAGCAGUGGGGAAUAUUGGACAAUGGGCGCAAGCCUGUUCCAGCCAUACCGCGUGGGUGAAGAAGGCCUUCGGGUUGUAAAGCCCUUUUGUUGGGAAAGAAAAGCAGCAGGUUAAUACCCCGCUGUUCUGACGGUACCCAAAGAAUAAGCACCGGCUAACUUCGU